rnacentral:rRNA from 1 species
AUUGAACGCUGGCGGCAGGCCUAACACAUGCAAGUCGAACGACUGGCGGACGGGUGAGUAAUGUCUGGGAAACUGCCCGAUGGAGGGGGAUAACUACUGGAGACGGUAGCUAAUACCGCAUACCAUCGGAUGUGCCCCGAUGGGAUUGGCUAGUAGGUGGGGUAAUGUCUCACCUAGGCGACGAUCCCUAGCUGGGCUGAGAGGAUGACCAGCCACACGGGAACGGGGACACGGUCCAGAGACAUACGGGAGGCAGCAGAGGGGAAUAUGGCACAAUAGGCGAAAGCAUGAUGCAGCGAGGCAGAGUGUAUGAAAAAGGCCUUCGGGUUGUAAAGUACGUUCAGCGAGGAGGCGUUACUCGCAGAAGAAGCACAGGCUAACUCCGUGCCAGCAGCCGCGGUAAUAC